rnacentral:rRNA from 1 species
UGCGCAGGCGGGGCAAUUAGUCAGUGGUGAAAUCCUGCGGCUUAACCGUAGAACUGCCAUUGAUACUGUUGCUCUUGAGUAUAGUUGAGGUGGGCGGAAUAUGUAAUGUAGCGGUGAAAUGCAUAGAUAUUACAUAGAACACCGAUUGCGAAGGCAGCUCACUAAGCUAUCACUGACGCUGAGGCACGAAAGCGUGGGGAGCGAACAGGAUUAGAUACCCUGGUAGUCC